UCGCGGCGCGGCCCCGCCCUGCCGGAAAGGCGCGCGCGGCGCCGGAAGCGCUCGGCGCCGUCCUCACUUGCUCCGCUGAGGGUCUCGGGGACGGCGAGGGUGUCGGGCGGCGACCCCGCCUCACACACCAUGCCUGGAGUGCCGUGCGCUCGCUCUCCGCCACCGUCUCGGUCUGCCCUGUUUGCUUCAGUCGGGGUCCCCCCGCAGCACUCCCUUACAGCGUCCCCUCGCCGUCUGCCCUCAGGUGCCUCCUCCCCGGGCCCCCUCAUAGUCUCCCCAGUCCUCUCAGAGUACAUUUCUCCCCCUCCAAGUCCUCGCCUCGGUCUUUCCUGUUUGCUGCUGUCGGGCUCCCCUCAGGACCCCAGAGCUGUCCCCUCGCAGUGUUCCGACUCCCCUCAGAUGUCUGUUCCCCCCUCAGAGAGUCCCCCGCAGUCUCCCCUCAGUCCCGGCAGACGAGUCUCCGUGCCCCCAUCACAGCGACCCCUUCAAGUCUCCCCACAGUCCCCUUUUCUCAUCAGUCCCCUCGUAGUCCCACCAUGGAUGGCUCGUUGGCCCUUCAGAGUCUCCCCUGAGUCCCUCAGAGCCCUCGCUUCAGUCGCUCGCCAGUCUCCCCCCACAGUCCCCUCUGACUCCCCUCAGAGGCUGCAGUGCUCCCCUCACCAUGCCCCCUCCACGUCUCCCCAUGAUCCCCCCUCCCCAUCUCAGUCCUUUCUGAGUCACCCCCACAAUCUCCCCUUUCAGUCCCACCACUGAUGGCUCAAUGCCCCCCUCACAGUCUUUCCCCCUCUCAUACUCCUCAGAGCCCCCACCCCAGUCUCCUCUCAAUCUCACCAUGGAUGUCCCCUCUCAGUCUCUCCCUGCAACGUCCUCAGUUUUCCCUCACAGUUACAUUUCCAGUCUGCCUUCUCAGUCUCACCAUGGGUGCCUGCUCCAUGCCCCCUUCACAGCCAUCCCCCUCCCAGUCUCCCUUCUCAGUUUCCCCUCAGUCACCUCUCAACUUCCCCUCUCAGUCAGUCCCACAGAGAUGAUCCCUCUCAGUGUCCCCCUCAGAGUGUCCCCUCUCCAUUUUUUCAUCCCCUGCAGUUUCCCCUCUCAAUCCCAAUGCGGACAUUCCCUCUCAAUGUCCCACUCACAACAUCCCCUCCCAAGCUCCCCCUCAGUGCUCCCAUUUUCCCCCAUGCCCUCAGAGCAGCCAUACAUGAGGGCAAGUGUCCCAUCAGAGCUGACCCACUCUCAGGCACCAGCAUCAAACCCAGCCUCCCUUUACAAACACUUUCUGCUCUGUCUAGACAGACUUCCCCAGCCCAAAACAGGUUUAGAGGACUGGAGCUCAUAUAGUUCCAUGGAUUUCCAUACUGGUUCCCAACCUGAGAAUCAGGUCGUAUAAGCCCCGGUGACGUGUGUGGCAGCAGAGCUCCUUGUACCCAAACUGGUUGCUUGGGGCUGUUUUCAUCACCUUCAUGUUGGAAUGUCCUCCAAAGUCAGCCACAAUGGGAGGAGAGGCUGGAGAAGAUCUGGACACAAUUCUGAGGAUGUGCUGAUGGGCUCCAUAAGCUGAGAUGGAUUCAACAGCAAUAAUUUAUUGGUUUAAAGGAGAUCUAUAAUGACAGAUUCCUUUGCAAAGAGACAUGGUGAACUGGCUGGCAGGUUGUCUGAUGAGAAGGAAUCUGCCCCGGGACGCCGUGAAGAGGUGGGACCUUCUGCCUGUUGUUUGUCAUGGAAAAUGGAAGAUGCCUGCAUUCAGCUGCUGCUGAAACCAGGAAUGCCAGCUCAAAACCGGGAACAUCAGCUCGGGAGGACGCUGCUCUGCUGCUGCUGUGGCUGGAGGAGGCUCAACCCCACGUCCUGGGCCACCCAGAUCACAUGCCAAGGGCUGCGGCUGAAGCGGGGUUGGAGCAAAAAUACGAAAGCAAAACUGAUUUGGAGUUGACACAGUGUAUUGUGAAUUACUUCUCAGCUUUUCUACAUCUAAGAGAGCAUGAAAUGAUCAGUACAGUGGAGCAGUUUAAUACACAAUUGAUUACAGAGCUGCAGAUAAUACACGUUGGAUCUAUUUACACAGACAGCUUAAUAUUUCACACAUACAACUUUGUGCCAUCUCGGUUUGUCCACGAAGCAUUGGCAGAGUAUUUACAGAGAGGCUGCUGCGAGGAAGCCCCGUCCCCCGUGCAGCCCCGGGCGAGGCUGCCCCAGCAGGGGGUGUAAACAGAGCGGUUCUUUCUUUCUGCAAGGGAGGGAGAAGGUGGGAACACAGCCUGCGCUGGGCAGGAGGGAAAGGAACCAGAGAUACCAGGAAAAAAUAAUGUCCAGCUAACCUGGAGACCUCAAACCACUUAAAUUUGCCUUGUAAAAUAUUUUAACUGGAAACUGUUCUCGAUUCAUUUUCAAUUUGUAAUUCAAUAAUGUUUCAAUGGCAUUUUCAAUUAAUGCUUUCUAUCCAUCUGUAUUUCUAUCCAUCCCACGUGUGCUUGUGCAAGGACAGGGAGUGCUGAAGCCCCGGGUCAGGGCUGAGGGGACUCCUCAGGAAGCAGGGGAUGCUCGGGGGCCUGUGCUGGCUCCCAGGUCCACUCCUUGCCCUUGGCAAACCAAAGCCAACCCUGAUUUCAGCUGAUCACUCCAAAAAUAAUCUCUCUCCAGCUCUUUGUAAUCAGGUACCACCACCCUCGAUGCCCAGUGAUGGCUUUCACAGGGGGAUCACUGUGUGGGUGUCACUGAGGGUGGGCAGAUCCGACCCCAAACCCCAACCCCAACCCUCACCCCCAGCCCCAGCCUGUCAUGGUCGGACACAGCGCUCUGAUUCCCAGGGCAGGCUUUCAGUAACCAGCUGAAAUUUGUUCUGUGAGAGAAUCCAACCAACAGGCAGGAGGGAAGGUGCAUUUACCAAGGUGUCCAUGGCCUGGCUGCUUGGAGCAGGCAGCAGCCCAGCAGCAAACCUCCUCACAGCUUGGGGACAGCUUGGCUGCUGCCCAGGCACCUCUAUGGGACCCACACGGCAGCUCCUCCAGUAGGGCUGGCUCCGGGGCACACCCAGCUCCUUCCCAACUGAUCCCCCUUUCCCAUCAUUUACAUCCCAGCCUUGUCUCCCUCAGUGCUGGAUGGAUCAAAGGGUGAGAAAGAAGGAAUCCAGCCCCUGCCACCAGCAAAGACAAUGUUUGAUGCUAAGUUAAGAAUACUGUUUAAUGGAAAAUAGGAGCUUUUCUGAGCAAUUCAACCUAAAGCUAUCCAGCUGGCACUGGGCAGUGAGGUGACUUUCCGGGGAGCUUAUUUACCUGUUCCUGGGGAAAUGGAUGAGGGUGGCCAAGGUCCUUGUCAUCUUUGGACACUGCUGCUGCCUCCCUGCAAACCAGAGCCACCUGCCAUCAAGCUGGAAAAAUUCCCAAAUACUCAGCACCACCUCAGAACUGUGCUUCCUGUCUCAGCAGAUGCUGGUGUUGUUAAGGCUCUUGGCUUUUAAGAGUUUAUUACUUUGGAAGUUUAAAGCUGUACUUGCAGUAGAGUCUAACAGGUCUCUGUCUCAGCACAGGUAUUAUGUAUCUCUGUGUCUCAGCACAGGCUCUGAAACCAGAAGCAAUGAAACUGGGGAGAGGGUCACUGGUAACUGAGGGCUCCUGGGACAUCUGCUGGAUCCAGUGGGACCAGGCCAAUACCUGUGCAGUGGCCAAACACUGGCUGAGGCAGUGACAUAGGGCACAGCUGGCAGUGCUGCCACCCCUCCUUUGGACAUGAUGGAGUGGUACACCCAGUACUGGAAAUAAACCCUAAACAGAGCUCUGGGCUCACCUGGAAAAGGCAAAGCUUCAGAGUCACUAAAGAUGCAUUUCCCCCUUGGGCACACCCACAGAUGGACCACAUGCUAUGUGUCCCUCCCUGCCCUGAGCUGUAUCUCCAGCACAAAUCCAUACAAACCAUCUUCAAUCCCAAAGAUGGAAUGUACUAAGGCAGAAACAAGUGAAGACUUAAGUAACAGAGAGGAAAAUAAGGAAAAACUUGAAAAAGUCACUUUGAUUAAUCUGAAGGAGGAUUUGGGAAUUGGUGGCCAAAUCAGUGGCAUAAAAGUGGUGGCACUUACACCACACAUCCAGCAAUGAGCUGGAUGAUAAACUGGUCAGAGCAUCACCCAUGAGAGUGGGGACUUAAACUUGUACCAACUGUUCCCAGCCAGGACCUUCUCUGCAGUUCUUCAGUUCAGUGAAUGCUGCAACUUCUGGACAUUAAAAUCCAUUACAGGCAUGGAGAUGCCCCAAGGGCUGAGCCUCUCUGCUCUGGAGCCAGGCUGGCAGAGCUGGGGGUGCUCACCUGGAGAGGAGAAGGCUCCAGGGACACCUCAGAGCCCCUGCCAGGGCCUAAAGGGGGUCUAGGAGAGCUGGAGAGGGACUGGGGAUAAGGGAUGGAGGGACACGACACAGGGAAUGGCUCCCACUGCCAGAGGGCAGGGCUGGAUGGGAUAUUGGGAAGGAAUUGUUCCCUGGCAGGGUGGGCAGGCCCUGGCACAGGGUGCCCAGAGCAGCUGUGGCUGCCCCUGGAUCCCUGGCAGUGCCCAAGGCCAGGCUGGGCAGGGCUUGGAGCAGCCUGGGACAGUGGAAGGUGUCCCUGCCCAUGGCAGGGGUGGCACUGGUUGGGCUUUAAGGUCCCUUCCAACCCAAACCAUUCUCGGAUUCUGUGCAAUUGUUGCAGUGAGCCAGAGAACAGGGAGAGAAUGCAGGAAACCCCAGCAAGGCUGGGACAGGAGAUGCUGACAGCCUGGGGGCCAUUCCAGAAGUGCAGAACUCCAGGGGCUGCUGCCUCUGACACUGCUGAGCAGUGUGGGACAGCUCCUGAGGAGGAUGCUGAGCUCCACCCCUGAGCAGGAGUGUGGGAAGACACUGAGCACCUGCCUCCAGCUCCUGGCCAGCCUCAGGCUGGGCAGCUGGGUUAGGGCAGCACAUGUUUAGCAGCUACAAUAAGGAACCAGGAGAAAAAAAAAAGCUUCAAAUAUCUCCCACCAAUCUGUUUUGUCCAAACAGAUUGGUUCUUUCUCCCAAGCCAAUAUUGACUCCCAAAGGCAAGGAGCAAACAGCUCUGUAUGUGCUGUACAGCCCAGCCCCUUAUCAGGGCUGAGACAGAAGUUCAGUUCACACCACAAAGACUUGGAAGAGAUUUUAUACAAAAUGUUUGGUUUUUUUUCCUACCAGAGCUUUACCAUGUGUCUGCAAAGCACCUCAAACCUCCUUCCCAUGGCACCCCAAACUGCACCACUGUCAAGACAAGACACAUUCCACCACUUUUAUUUUCUCCUUCAACUUCUACAGAGUCUUUUGUUUCAUUUUAAACAAACUCUUUAAAUAAGACAAAGGGAAUAAGCUCCUGCUGUCUGACUUUCACCAGUAAAACUCACUGUACAGAGUUCAGGGGGUGGUGCUAAUGCAGAGUUUAAUAAAAUCAGCCCAUUUUAGGGCUCUCUGGUUCCGUGCCUCAGAACAAAAACAAAACAAGAACAGCUUGGGAAGCUGAGGCUCUGCUUCACACCUGAGACACCUUCCUGUACAGCCCUCCUGGACACAGAUUAGCCCUUGAUCCAGCCAGCAGCUCACUCCAUAUUCCCCUCUCCUUGUCUCCCGGUUCCAGACCUGGAAGCACGUUACCAUAUGGAGCCAAAGCAGGACACUGAGUCCUACCUACAGCUCUGAACUGAGACACCUUCACACCAUGGCAGCACUCACACAGCUCCAGGGCCUGCAGGAAUUGCUGAGUAAUGGGCACUAAUUCCAACUUUUUUAUAGGAUUUUGCAGAAUCCCACUGCACUGCCUGCACAGUUCAGUCCCAGCAAUGGCAAUUCAAGUUUUAGCCCAGGAAACAAACCAAGGACAGCUACAGCGUGCAGGGAGAACUCAAAAGGAGAAAAACACUGGAGCAAAUGACUUCGCUGCCCAAACUGAUGUUCCACAAGCAGCCAGUCAAGUCUCAGCAGUAUUCUGAGACUUCUGCUGCCUUUUCACAGCUGCCUGGGCAUUGAGAUGGCAGUGCCAUGGCACUGGGUCAUCCCUGCACCUCCACCUCAGCUGUCCCCACAUGCAAAUCAUUCUGUUCUUACCCCUCUGGCAUUUCCAGCAACUGGAAAAAUCACAUCAAUAAACAACAUCUGCAUUUUAAAAUUUAAUUCCUAAAUUUAACUGCAGGGGUGUGCCUCUUCUGUACCUUCUGUCACCACAACGAGGAGGAAGCUGCAGCUGUGACCAGGCAGAAUGGACCAAGGCAUCAAAGCAAACACAUCUCCCCUUUCCUCAGGACACAGGGAGGCACCAGCAGCACCAGCAGCACCCAGAGCCCUGGUGAGGAGCAGAAGGCAACAGACACCUGUGUGUCCCAUGGAGAUGGAGAGAAUGAGACCACAGCAGGGAAGAAGGGAGAAAACAAAUUUUUGAAUUUGGCAGAACCUCCCCAAGCCAAGGUGCAGAUUUAAACAGCCAAAGGCAUGACAGCCAAUCCCAGGGACCUUCAGCCUCUUGAGAUGUUGUGAUGUGAAUUAACUGCUCCCUUGAAACACCUUUUGCUGUAUUCAGACUGAAGGUUUUAGAAACAGGUCAAAGUUAGCCAUUUUAAAAUGCAAAAAACCCUAAAAACCUGACCUUUUACUCAUGAAUAAACUCCUCUUGAGCUAAAGCUGCUAUGGGUACAGGGAGGUCCCUUCAGCUUUGCUCUGGGCACCUCCUUUCUGUGUUUUAGCCCUAGAGUAUCCAAAUACUUAUGUUUUGUGAAAAGCCCUUGGGGAACCCACCCCUUCCUCCCCUCAUUUUGUCACUCCUGGGACACAGCAGAAGCUGCAGCCAGAUCGUGGCACUGUCCCACUCUGCUCAUGUUACCUCCAGCAAAGAGGAAUGGCCCCAAAUCCUGGGAAGCAACAGCAAAUCCAUCCAUCUCAAAAUCCUGGAGCCAGAAGUGAAUCAAUGGGAAUGCCAUUUACCUGGUUCUCACUGAGAAAUCUCUCACAGGAGCAGCAGGGAGGAAAAAGCAUCUUGGUGAGUUAGCAGCAGAUGAAGACCUCACUGCUGACAGUAUUCUGUGCACUCCUUGUCACUCUGCACCCUGGAGCAGGUGCUGCAAGUGGCAGAAGACAACAUGGGGCUCACAAAUACUCAGCAACCUCCCCAAUCCCCUUCUCUGGACCAUUUUUAGUCACUGCCAUUAAGCCACCCUAAAGAUUGGAAGCACAGCCACACAUGGAUUGUCCUUGUGGAAUAAACCCCAGGGGAUCCAGCCAGCCCCCCACGUUCACUGGCAGUACUGCUAGCACCAACAGCACCCACAGCACAGGCAUUUAAUGGGGUGAACUUUGCCUGUGGCCUCCCACAGCACACGUGUCAGAACUCUGCAGCAGAGCCACACAACACUGCUAGAAACACCUCCAGAGUAAUUUCUGUGUCAGGAUAAACCUUCUAAAGCAUAAGGGGAGGUGUGAAGGUUCAGCUCACACUGGUUUGCAACACAAACAGGUAUCUCCUUGCACCUGGAAAACCUCCCCCUCCAAACCACUGAGAACUGAACUUCUUGAUUUGGUUACUAGACUGCAUUGAAGAGAUUUAACCCCAGGCAGCCCCAGCUGUGGAAUUGCUGCUGUCCUGGCAAGGAGCAAACGGGGCACCACUGGUCACCCAGCAGGAGUCUUUUCCCAAUCCAGAGUUAAGGCAGAGCACCAUCACUGGCAGCUCCCAGAGCAGACAACAGCCCUUGAUCUGAGUCCACCAGAGCUGCUGUCCUCAGUGCCUUUAUUUGCUUAGUGCCAACCAAGAGAGGCCCUGGUGGGUUUGGAGUUUGGUAUUUGGAUGUUCCCACAGUCCCACAGCACAGCAGCAUGGGAGCCUUGUGUACUUUAUAGGCUGGAGGAGAAGGAUUCUGCAUCCUGAACAUUGAAGAGGAAGGUGGUUGGGGACUGGGGUCCAUUCCAGCACCUUCUCCUUUUGGGUUUAACAGAGGUUGCCAACCUCUCCUGGUGCAGGGCUGGGGCUGGUGGAGGUUUGGUUAUUGUGCAGUGUCUCAAGGAGCCAGCACGUCCUGACUGAGCUCUGCCCUUGCACACAGCUGAGCAGGGAGAGAGCAAGGAUGGGCAGGGUCCAUAAAACUGGGAGAAAGAAGUGUCAGGGAGAAAGGCUGGAAAAACUCUAAGAUAAUAACAUAACACUGGAAGGCAUGUAAACAAUUCUGGAUCCUGUCAGCUCCUUGACUGUAGGAAAAGGAAUACUGACACACCUUAACUGCACCAAAAACCCUAACAAUGGUUUCAGGAACACAGUCUUCAGAUGCAAGAGGUAUUUGCAGAAUUACUACCUGAAAGCUGGAAGUGCAACCCACUAUGGGGAGGGGGAAGUUGUAACUUAGGGCGCAGGAAGCUGCUAGAAACCUCUGCCCUCAAAACCACCUCACAUUGCUGCUCAUUGGGAACAGCCUCCAAACAGGCAACAGCAUCUGUGGCACAGGGAUUUGGCGGGGAGGAUCCCCUGGUUUGCUGUGUGCUGGCAGAUUGAGUGAAGAUGAAUUCUGAGCAGCUUUCCUAUCAAACGGAAUACUGACAUGCAUGAACAGCAGCUUUGCAGGACUGUGCACAGAGUUCUGUUUAACUGAGAUCCAGAAAUCCCCCAGACUCACAUCUCAGAAAGGCUUCACGGGCUCCACACCGACUGUGGAGAGGGGAUGGAUCUUCACCAGCUGAACAGGAACCCACAAUGGAUUUAUUUAUUACUCAUACCCCAAAAUCACCUGGGGAUGAGAGGAAGAAUCAAUACAUUCUGACUCGAGUUCAGAUGGAAAGAGCCCCCAGCUUCCAUCAGCAGCCAGUGCAGCCCCACCUUUCCCCAGCUCUUCCCUGGCUGAUAAACUUGAUUUGGGAAUAAAAAUCCUCUCACUUGAUUUAGUGUCAAAGGGAGUUGGCUGAACUAGACCAGUUCAAUGGUCAGUAUGAUCCCCAGCAGGGCACCAAAAGCCACCGAGGGAGGUGGUGGAAGCAUGCGGAGGGCAGACUAGCACAGCCUAAGCCCCCAGUCCCAGAGCUCCCUCUGUGCAAGCAGCUCCUGGGCUCCUGCAGGCCUCUGCUCCCGAGGACCUGCACAGAGCUGUCUGCAGCUCUGGGAAAUGAUUGUGCUUCUCAGCUCCCUACAAGGACUCUGUUCCCUAUUCCUGCUUUCAGCAGCAGGAAGGGAGCAUUCUAAUUUCCUCCCUGCUGCAAAAGCACAGAGUGUGUGUGUGUGUGUGUGUGUGUGUGUGUGUGUGUGUGUGUGUGUAAAAAUCCUGAAAAAUACUGUGCAGCACCAUUGGUUCAGUCCAGAAAGGGAAGCUGGGAUACUCAACUGUGUUUGGUGGCUCUCAAAGUCACCAGCUUGGAACCAAAUAUUGCCUAAGGUAACAUCCUCACAGUGGCUGGUGGUUCAAAGAGACUCAAACACUGUCUGAUCACUCCUGUUAAACCCAGGAACAAUUCAUCUCCCCUGGUCCCUCCCACACGCGAAAAUUCCCAAAGGAAAUUAACAAACCCCCCAAAAAACCAAACAGGAAUAAAAUAAAUAAAUAAAUAAAGGCAUUCCCAAAACAUUUAUUUUUCUUCUCUCUUUGUCUCUCUCCAAUCAGCUCAGAGACACCGAUGUCACCUACCUUCGCCCGCUGAGCUGCGUACGGAGCCGGGAGCCCUGAACUGCAGCACUCCCGUGGUCUCUCCUGCUUCUGGAAACCUGUCCCCAGAGCUGGCACUGUCCCAACCCUCCUUCCAUUCCCACGGAUCAGUAACUCAUUGGCUAUAUGGAAAAGAAGUGUAUCCAAAGCACACGGCACAGGGAGGCUGCAGAAGCAUCGGGAAAGGAGAACAGAACGGCAGCAGCUGUUCCUCCUGCCCUAACUAAAGGCUGAGCCACGGCACAACUCCCCCUCCAGCCCGACCCAAAGGGGGUCACCCCUCGCCCAGACAUUCUUGUGGUGCAUUACUGGCACUUUAUAGCAGUCUCAUAUGGUAGAUACAUGCACAUGUCUGUGUGUUACAUACAAAAGGUCUGAUAACAGUAAAACAUUGUUCCGAGAGAUAUAAAAAACCCAAGGAGUUGCAUUAGCCAAAAAAAGUGUUUUGUGAGAAACAACAAUAAAAAUGAUAUAA